rfam:Felis catus isolate Cinnamon breed Abyssinian chromosome D4, whole genome shotgun sequence.
GCCGGGGUGGCUCCGUCGGUUGAGCGUCCGACUUCGGCUCGGGUCACGAUCUCACGGUUCGUGGGUUCGAGCCCCGCGUCAGGCU